AGAGAUGUGUGAUGACGCAUAUCAAUAAGCGGAGGAAAAGAAACUAACAAGGAUUCCCUUAGUAACGGCGAGUGAGGCGGGAAGAGCUCAAAUUUGAAAUCUUCAAGGUUCUACCUUGACGAAUUGUAGUUUAAAGAAGUGUUUUCUGUUAGUGGAGUGGCAAAAGUUCUUUGGAAUAGGACAUCAUAGAGGGUGAGAAUCCCGUAUUUGGUCAUUCCUUCUAGCUCUGUGAUACACUUUCAAAGAGUCGGAUUGUUUGGGAAUGCAGUCCAAAAUGGGUGGUAAAUUUCAUCUAAAGCUAAAUAUUGGCGAGAGACCGAUAGCGAACAAGUACCGUGAGGGAAAGAUGAAAAGAACUUUGAAAAGAGAGUUAAACAGUACGUGAAAUUGUCAAAAGGGAAGCGUUUGACACCAGUGUUGUUUUUCCGAAAAUCAAUUACGAAUGUUUUAUUUUUGAGAAGUUAUGACUUCAUCGGCUUGCUUCUCUCUUUAUGAAACUUUCUUAAUGCACUUUUCGGUUAACAAGUCAACAUCAAUUUCUUUUGUUGUAAAAGGGUAUGAGGAAGGUGGCUUUCUUUUCGGAGAAAGUGUUUAUAGCCCUGUUACCUUCUGCAAUCGGAGAGAUUGAGGUCUGCAGCGUAGAUCCUUCGGGGUUAGAUACAUUUGUGCUAAGUUAUAGCUUUUCAUAGACAACUUGUUGAUUAUGUUUAGUCUUGUAGCUUACUCGCUUAUGCUAUUUUACCUACGCUUAGGAUGUUGACGAUCAGCUGAGCGCG
rnacentral:rRNA from 1 species